UACAGGGGGUGCAAACGUUGCUCGGAAUCAUUGGGCGUAAAGCGCGCGUAGGCGGCCUCAUAAGUCCGCUGUAAAAGUCAAAGGCUCAACCUUUGAAUGCCGGUGGAUACUGUGAGGCUAGAGUCCGGAAGAGGCGAGUGGAACUCCUGGUGUAGCGGUGGAAUGCGCAGAUAUCAGGAAGAACACCAACGGCGAAGGCAGCUCGCUGGGACGGUACUGACGCUGAGGCGCGAAAGCGUGGGGAGCAAACAGG
rnacentral:rRNA from 1 species